rnacentral:rRNA from 1 species
AUGAACGCUGGCGGCGUGCCUAAUACAUGCAAGUCGAGCGAACAGAUGAGGAGCUUGCUCCUCUGACGUUAGCGGCGGACGGGUGAGUAACACGUGGAUAACCUACCUAUAAGACUGGGAUAACUUCGGGAAACCGGAGCUAAUACCGGAUAAUAUAUUGAACCGCAUGGUUCAAUAGUGAAAGACGGUUUUGCUGUCACUUAUAGAUGGAUCCGCGCCGCAUUAGCUAGUUGGUAAGGUAACGGCUUACCAAGGCAACGAUGCGUAGCCGACCUGAGAGGGUGAUCGGCCACACGGGAACUGAGACACGGUCCAGACUCCUACGGGAGGCAGCAGUAGGGAAUCUUCCGCAAUGGGCGAAAGCUUGACGGAGCAACGCCGCGUGAGUGAUGAAGGUCUUCGGAUCGUAAAACUCUGUUAUUAGGGAAGAACAAAUGUGUAAGUAACUAUGCACGUCUUGACGGUACCUAAUCAGAAAGCCACGGCUAACUACGUG